UCUCUCUGGUGUUUGGAGGAUGUUUCCUAAGAUGGGGAGUUGUGAGGGACAGUUUUGUGAUGCUUUAAAAGAAUGGAAUCGUCUCUCUGGUGCUUGGAGGAUGUUUCCAGAGAUGGGGAGUUCUGAGGGACAGCUUUUGUGGUGCUUUAAAAGAACGGAAUCUCCUGUUUGGUGUUUGGAGGAUGUUUCCAGAGAUGGGGAGUUGUGAGGGACAGCUUUUGUGGUGCUUUAAAAGAAUGGAAUCGUCUCUCUGGAUGCCCACCAGGCUGCUGGAGAGGAAGGGAAGCGGCUGUCACGGCACGCCAAGAAAGGCCUGGAAUGCGUGCUGGGUCUGAUUGCACCCUCAGAAGAGAAGACAGGGAGGAAGGAGCUCAAUGCUGAGCCCAGCAGGAAUCUUGGGCAGGUGGAGCAUCGGCGGAGGAGCCGGAAGGGACGCUGUAGGCAUCAGGAGAGGGAGAGUUUCCUCUCUGUGCGCCGGGCGUCCAAGGAGCUCAAGUAGAAAAGUUCUUCAGUGCCCUGGGUGUGCCCGCUGCAGCCGGCCCAAGACCGACAGCGCCAGCAGGGCGACGUGGAGAGCUGUGCAGGGACCAGCCAGGAGCUGUCCUGCUCCUCACCAGCUGCCAGCCACUAUUUUGUCAUA
rnacentral:lncRNA from 1 species